UGGCUCCCCCGCCCCCCUCUCGACCCCUGGUAACCGAGGUCACAAGAUCAGGAGCGCGUGUGGGGGACACGGACCUCCUCCCCCACCAACUCCGGACCAGGUGCCCUCCGAGGGGCGCCGAGGUGCGGCGGGGCGGGAAAGACGGCUGAGGGAUCCUCCAGCAUCCAGAUGCCGCAGGUGGCCUCGUCCCUGGGCCCUUGAGUUAUUUGCUGGGCAUUUAGUGCCUGGGGAGCCGGUGUUUAAUCCACAUACAUGGAGCGGAUGUACACAGCAGGUGUUUAAUCCACAUACAUGGAGCGGAUGUACACAGCAGGUGUUUAAUCCACAUACAUGGAGCGGAUGUACACAGCAGGUGUUUAAUCCACAUACAUGGAGUGAAUGGGUGGAUUCUUCACCACCUCAGCCACCAGAGAAGCUCAGAAAAAGCAUCAUUUGCCACCAAGGAAAGUUAUCAUGAAAACAC
ensembl:lncRNA